UACGUAGGGUGCAAGCGUUAUCCGGAAUUAUUGGGCGUAAAGAGCUCGUAGGCGGUUUGUUGCGUCGGCUGUGAAAUCCCGAGGCUCAACCUCGGGUCUGCAGUCGAUACGAGCAAACUAGAGUGUUGCAGGGGAGACUGGAAUUCCUGGUGUAGCGGUGAAAUGCGCAGAUAUCAGGAGGAACACCGGUGGCGAAGGCGGGUCUCUGGGCCGAUACUGACGCUGAGGAGCGAAAGCGUGGGGAGCGAACAGG
rnacentral:rRNA from 1 species